CCCACUUCAACAAGAACUUAUAGCUGACCAUUUUCCAGGCUGAUUUGUUACAGACAACCAUUUCCCAGGAAUUCCAUUUUGUAGCCCUGAACCAGAUCAGGAAGUGAUAAAACAGAAUCCAGAUGCCAACCAGCCGUGCCCAUGAGAAAUCAAUCAUAGACGAGAGAAGCUAUUUCUG
rnacentral:lncRNA from 1 species